rnacentral:rRNA from 1 species
UACGUAGGGGGCAAGCGUUGUCCGGAAUCAUUGGGCGUAAAGCGCGCGUAGGUGGCCCGGUAAGUCCGCUCUGAAAGUCAAAGGCUCAACCUUUGAAAGCGGGUGGAUACUGUCGGGCUAGAGUCCGGAAGAGGCGAGUGGAAUUCCUGGUGUAGCGGUGGAAUGCGCAGAUAUCAGGAGGAACACCAACGGCGAAGGCAGCUCGCUGGGACGGUACUGACACUAAGGCGCGAAAGCUAGGGGAGCAAACGGG